rnacentral:rRNA from 1 species
UUCGAACGCGAAGGSSMCGCAAKSSSYRAGUAGAGUGGCAAACGGGUGAGUAACACGUGGGUGACCUGCCUYMGAGYGGGGGAUAACGUCCCGAAAGGGACGCUAAUACCGCAUAACAUCCUGCCUUUGRARAGGYGGAGAUCAAAGCYGGGGAUCGCAAGACCYGGCRCUUGRAGAGGGGCCCGCGUCUGAUUAGCUAGUUGGURGGGUAAYGGCCUACCRAGGCAACGAUCAGUAUCCGGCCUGAGAGGGCGGACGGACACACUGGGACUGAGACACGGCCCAGACUCCUACGGGARGCAGCAGUGGGGAAUUGUUCGCAAUGGGCGCAAGCCUGACGACGCAACGCCGCGUGGAGGAUGAAGAUCUUCGGGUCGUAAACUCCUGUCGAGCGGGAAGAACACUUUUCGGGCGAAUAUCCCGGAAGGCUGACGGUACCGCUAAAGGAAGCCCCGGCUAACUCCGUGCCAGCAGCCGCGGUAAUACGGGGGGGGCAAGCGUUGUUCGGAAU